UUGGCCACGAGGAGGAGCCAGUUCGGCAGUUCGGAGUGUUUGCCAAGGCAAGGCGGAGGGAGGGCGGAGGCGUCAGGCGCAAGGCUGCGCGCAUAAAGCCCCGCGCGGCAUCAGAGUCUCCUCCUCGUCUCCGCUCGCCACCGAAUCCGCCGCGUGAAGCGGACCAAAUGGAGGCCGCGUGAAGCGGACCAAAUGGAGGCCGCGUGAGAGGGCAGCGACCAAGGGGUAGAUCAGGAGGCGGCGAUGCGGGCGAGGCAUAUGCACCCGCUCUGCUGCCUCGCCCGGGAGUGGCCUCCCGGCGGGGGCCUCGGCGCCGGCGACCGCUCCCCGCCGCCGCAGCCGGUAGAGGGAGUCGGGCCGGAGGGGGAGGCGGCGGUGGCGGGGGUGCUGUACAAGUGGACCAACAUCGGCAGGGGCUGGCGCCCGCGGUGGUUUGCGAUCCGCGGCGGCGUGCUCGCAUACUCGAAGAUCCGGCAGCGCGUCGCUGCGGAGCCGCUGCCCACUGAGGCCACCGCCGCGGGCGGAGUCAGGCUGAUCGGGGUGGCGCGCGGCGCCGGCGCCGGGGAGCGGCCCAUCGGAUUCGUGCAUCUCAAGAUAUCAUCAUUUAGUGAAAGUAAAUCCGAUGAUAAACGGUUCUAUAUUAUUACCCCAACCAAAACACUUCAGCUGAGGACUAGUUGUGCUAAGGACCGGGCGGCUUGGAUUGAAGCGCUUGUCUCUGCAAGAAGUGAAUAUUCUUUUAAUGGGGAUUUAUCAGGUGACCAGAAUGAUUCAUCAUUUUCCACAGAAAAGCUCAGAAAUCGCUUGCAUGCUGAAGGUGUCGGUGAGGCAAUUAUUAAAGACUGCGAGCAGAUUGUUCAUUCAGAAUUUUUGCAGUAUCAUACACAGAUGAAGCAACACUGCGAAGAGUAUUUAAGCUUUAUUGGCAAUCUGCCACGGGAAGUUGAGGUAGUUACUUCAGCACAUACAACUGUCGCUGAGAAGCCACAGUCGGAGUUGUUCAAGCACGACUGCUCUAGCUCUGGAAAAUCUAGUGAAUACAGCAAUACAGAAUCUUCUGAUGAUGUUGGCAAACAAGAGAUUAGUGAAUUAUCAGAUGGAGAUGAAUUUAAUUUCUAUGACACAAGGCAAAGUUUCAGUAGCUGUGCUGCUAGUCCUGACCUGAGAAUGAGAUGCUUAAACAAUGGAAAUGAAGAUCAUAAAUAUGUUGAAUCACUAGCUGUUGAGAAGACCAAUGAAUAUCUGUUGACAUCUUCAAAAAGGCGCUCAAUGUUGCCUGAACCAGUAGAAAAGGAGAAAGGUGUUAGCCUUUGGUCAAUGAUCAAAGACAAUGUGGGAAAGGAUCUUACAAGGGUCUGCCUUCCUGUUUACUUUAAUGAGCCUUUGUCUUCUCUGCAGAAGUGCUUUGAAGAGUUGGAGUACUCCCAUUUAUUGGAUCGUGCAUACGAAUGCGGUUUGAAGGGGAAUGGUGUUAUGAGAAUUCUGUAUGUUGCUGCCUUUGCCGUAUCUGGAUAUGCUUCCACAGAUUCUCGACCCUGCAAACCUUUCAAUCCAUUGUUAGGGGAAACCUAUGAAGCUGAUUACCCUGAAAAGGGUAUCCGUUUCUUCUCGGAGAAGGUCAGUCAUCAUCCUAUGGUCAUGGCAUGCCAUUGUGAGGGGAAAGGAUGGAAAUUUUGGGGAGACAGCAAUCUGAAGAGCAAAUUCUGGGGUCAAUCCAUUCAGCUAGAUCCUACUGGCGUCUUAACUCUAGAGUUCGAUGAUGGAGAAACUUUCCAAUGGAGCAAGGUUACGACAACAAUCAAUAACCUUAUCAUUGGUCGAGCCUAUUGCCAUCACCAUGGCACAAUGAACAUAAGUGGGAAUAGACGUUAUUCAUGCAAGCUGAGGUUUAAAGAGCAAUCUUUCCUUGAUAGAAAUCCUCGCCAGGUUCAAGGAGUUGUUAAGGAUGCUGAUGGGACCAAGGUUGCAACCUUGAUGGGAAAGUGGGAUGAAAGUGUGCAUUGCAUCAUCAGCGAUGAUGCCUCCAAGGCGAACUCCUAUGGUUCACAUCAGAGCUCUGGUGCCACUUUGCUGUGGGACAAAAACGAGCCUCCAGCCAAUCCCACUAGAUAUAACUUGUCCUCAUUUGCAAUAACAUUAAAUGAGCUAAUGCCAGAGCUCAAGGAGAAGCUUCCACCAACAGAUUCAAGGCUCAGACCAGAUCAGCGACACCUGGAGAAUGGGGAAUACGAGAAGGCCAAUGCUGAAAAACUGCGCCUCGAGACAAGGCAACGGAUGGCAAGGAAGAUGCAGGAGAGUGGUUGGAAACCAAGAUGGUUCCAAAGGGACAGGGAGGAUGGAACGUUUCGUUAUGUUGGAGGUUACUGGGAGGCAAGGGAGCAGAGGAAAUGGGUUGGCUGUAAUGACAUAUUUGGCAACUUGUCUAUUAACAGCCCAAAGCUGCAGUCAUCCACUCUUCACGCUAGCUCAAGUAUAUAGCGUUUAGGGAAUGCUACUCAGUAGGUGUUGGCAUCAAUUGCAUUCAUCACUUAGAAGUACAUAAGUGAUCGGCUUCUGUUGUUUGUGUGAUGCAAAGGUUUAUAUAUUUGGUGACCAGUUGAUCGCUUAUUUAUGCUCCGAAGUGUUCGUCUGUUUUUGGUGAUGCUGCUGCAAAGCUUGCCCUAUGUUGGUUCUAUGUAGUCACUGUUAAAGACGUCAUGUUCUUGGGGUAGUCCACUUUAGACAUGAUGGAUGUCUCAAGUAAAUAUAUAUUUUACUUUUGUUCAGAGUACUAAGAAUAGUUGUAAUGCUAGGUUAUCACGUUUUAGCUCAAAUGAUUCAAACUAAGAAUUAAUAUUGAUUCCAGGCUUUCAGCAGCGCUAUUCGUACGUUCAAGCAUUAUGUGGAUUCCCUUGGGCCUGUCAGGCCACAUAGUUCGCAUUGCCCUACGACCUAAAAGUUUACACAGUGCAUCCUCAGAGGUCAGAGCAGUGCAUCCUCGCGAUUUCGCGCCACAUCACCCCUGCCACAACAUGCUCUAGUCCAUGUUCAGAUGAAUUGCAGGUAACCCAAUUCAAAACGAACGGCCCUAAUAUAUCGAUUCUUGUUACACAUGUUUCACAACAAUCGUAUCACAGCAAUUGACCUGAUUUAGCGAUGCAGUUUGGGUUUUGCACUUGGCUGAUCGACAGUUUGCCCUCGCCACCCCACCAAUCUGGGCGAUGUGGAGGCCUUUGGAAAUCGAAUUGUCGAAUUGACCUUGCAAAGAAAUGCUACGAAAGGUUUAGUAGUGGAUCAGUGCCACAAAGUAGGGAGGUUAUCCCUCUUCUUCCUCUUUUUUUUCCUCUUCUCUUUCAUACCAAAAAAUUAAAAAGGAGCUUAGGAGCUCUCAGAUGCACCGGGGGUAAGGGGGCUUGAACCUCAUCCCCUGGGAUCCGCCGUUGUAAAAGGUUGGUAUCCGUCUUCUAUAUUGCACCUUAGGAUGAAACAUAUCACAUCGUAUUAAAGAGCUUGCAAAUUUGCAAUCUAGCAUCAUCA